UACGUAGGGUCCGAGCGUUAUCCGGAAUCAUUGGGCGUAAAGCGCAUGUAGGCGGCCAUGUAAGUCGGAUGUGAAAUCCCAGGGCUCAACCCUGGAACUGCAUCCGAUACUGCAUGGCUUGAGGAAGGAAGAGGAGAGUGGAAUUCCCGGUGUAGCGGUGGAAUGCGCAGAUAUCGGGAGGAACACCAGCGGCGAAGGCGGCUCUCUGGGCCUCUCCUGACGCUGAGAUGCGAAAGCGUGGGUAGCGAACAGGAUUAGAUACCCUGGUAGUCCACGCCGUAAACGAUGGGUGCUAGGUGUGGGGAUCAGUUCACGAUCUCCGUGUCGAAGCUAACGCGUUAAGCACCCCGCCUGGGGACUACGGCCGCAAGGCUAAA
rnacentral:rRNA from 1 species